GGCCGCCAGCGAUAAUCAAUUUUUACUGGCGGUUGUGUUAUACCUGCCGCCAGCAAAAAUUGAUUUUCGCUGGCGGCU
rnacentral:pre_miRNA from 13 species